UCUCCUUGGACUUGUAAUGCAAUCGAAGCUCCUUGGUGGAAUUAACCUUGUCGAAAUGAAAUACGUACUUCAGGUAUAACCACAGAAAUAGACUAAGGAUUGAAUUGAAAUCAAAUUUAUCAUACCUCGUUUCCUUAUUGAACAACCAAGCAUCAAAACAAUAGAAAUUGUUCACACACAAUUGGUCAUGCUUGAAUUUCCCAACAAAUGUACUAAAACAGAUUCUGGGUUUAAAAAUUUGAUUUUGAUUAUUAACGCCAAAGAGUAGCAAAGAGUUCAUGAAACCAAACUUGUCAACGCAAAAAUUUGUUUUGGGAAAACUCGUCUCACCACCAUUUGAGAUUAAAACACUAAUCAAUGAAGGAAAAUCAACCACUUUUUGGCAUGGAGCUUUUACAAAGAUGAAGUCGACAUUAUGUUUAUCCACAUUCAAGGAAGAUAAUGGAAAUUCAAGUGCUAGGUGUUCCUUACCUAUCUUACCUUCGGGCUCAUGUGGUUCAAUUUCAACUUCAUCCUUACCUUUUUCGGUCAGGCAAAAACGUCGCUCGUCAGGAAGAUAUUGAAGUUGAUAUUCGUCAUAGAGAUUUGUCGAAACCUGGAAAGAAGGAACAGAACAAAAACAAACAUCUCGGGGGUUAGUUAAAAUUUUCCUCUCUUUUUCUUGUUCUCGCUCACCAUCUUCCUUUUCUCUCAUUUCUUUUUCAACAUCUUUUUCCUUUUCAAUUUUUUUCUCAAUAUCAAUAUCAAUAUCAAUCUCAAUCUCAAAUUCUUUUUUCUUUUUC
rnacentral:lncRNA from 1 species